UGAGGAAUAUUGCACAAUGGGGGAAACCCUGAUGCAGCAACGCCGCGUGAAGGAAGACGGUUUUCGGAUUGUAAACUUCUGUUCUUAGUGAAGAAUAAUGACGGUAGCUAAGGAGCAAGCCACGGCUAACUACGUGCCAGCAGCCGCGGUAAUACGUAGGUGGCAAGCGUUGUCCGGAAUUACUGGGUGUAAAGGGAGCGCAGGCGGGAGACCAAGUCAGCUGUGAAAACUACGGGCUUAACCUGUAGACUGCAGUUGAAACUGGUUUUCUUGAGUGAAGUAGAGGUUGGCGGAAUUCCGAGUGUAGCGGUGAAAUGCGUAGAUAUUCGGAGGAACACCGGUGGCGAAGGCGGCCAACUGGGCUUUAACUGACGCUGAGGCUCGAAAGUGUGGGGAGCAAACAGGAUUAGAUACCC
rnacentral:rRNA from 1 species